GAUGAACGCUGGCGGCGUGCCUAAUACAUGCAAGUCGAACGCAUAGCGAAAGGUGCUUGCACCUUUCAAGUGAGUGGCGAACGGGUGAGUAACACGUGGACAACCUGCCUCAAGGCUGGGGAUAACAUUUGGAAACAGAUGCUAAUACCAAAUAAAACUUAGUGUCGCAUGACACAAAGUUAAAAGGCGCUUCGGCGUCACCUAGAGAUGGAUCCGCGGUGCAUUAGUUAGUUGGUGGGGUAAAGGCCUACCAAGACAAUGAUGCAUAGCCGAGUUGAGAGACUGAUCGGCCACAUUGGGACUGAGACACGGCCCAAACUCCUACGGGAGGCUGCAGUAGGGAAUCUUCCACAAUGGGCGAAAGCCUGAUGGAGCAACGCCGCGUGUGUGAUGAAGGCUUUCGGGUCGUAAAGCACUGUUGUAUGGGAAGAACAGCUAGAAUAGGAAAUGAUUUUAGUUUGACGGUACCAUACCAGAAAGGGACGGCUAAAUACGUG
rnacentral:rRNA from 1 species